CCUACGGGAGGCAGCAGUGAGGAAUAUUGGUCAAUGGACGCGAGUCUGAACCAGCCAAGUCGCGUGAAGGAUGAAGGUUCUAUGGGUUGUAAACCUCUUUUAUAAAGGAAUAAAACGUGGCACGUGUGCCAUUUUGUAUGUACUUUAUGAAUAAGGAUCGGCUAACUCCGUGCCAGCAGCCGCGGUAAUACGGAGGAUCCGAGCGUUAUCCGGAUUUAUUGGGUUUAAAGGGUGCGUAGAUGGGUUGUUAAGUCAGUGGUGAAAGUCUGUGGCUCAACCGUAAAAUUGCAAUUGAUACUGGGAGUCUUGAGUACAGUUGAGGUAAGCGGAAUUCGUGGUGUAGCGGUGAAAUGCUUAGAUAUCACGAAGAACCCCGAUUGCGAAGGCAGCUUACUAAGCUGUGACUGACAUUGAUGCUCGAAAGUGUGGGGAUCAAACAGGAUUAGAUACCCUUGUAGUC
rnacentral:rRNA from 1 species